GAUGAAGAACGCAGCGAAACGCGAUAUGUAAUGUGAAUUGCAGAAUUCAGUGAAUCAUCGAAUCUUUGAACGCACAUGGCGCCUUCCAGUAUCCUGGGAGGCAUGCCUGUCCGAGCGUCGUUUCAACCCUCGAGCCCCCGUGGCCCGGCGUUGGGGAUCUGCCCAGGCAGUCCCCGAAAACCAGUGGCGGACCCGUUACAGGCCCUUCCCUUGCGUAGUAGCAUUCGCCUCGCAUCGGGAGCCGGCGGGCUUCCAGCCUCUAAACCCCCAUCAAGUCCGCCCCGGCGGCACCAAGGUUGACCUCGGAUCAGGUAGGAAUACCCGCUGAACUUAAGCAUAUCAAUAAGCGGACGA
rnacentral:misc_RNA from 1 species